rnacentral:lncRNA from 1 species
CGAAGCUAUUAGAACAAGCCUAUUAACGAAGAUGUGUGGAGAUCACCAGAUGAGAGAGCAAAAAGGAGGAAAAACUUCAUGAAUUUUGUGGAAAGGGUACUUUCGGUUUGUGACUCUCCAAAUAUGGAAAAUUUUUCUCCGAUUUGUGACGUGCUGUUUGAUGAAACCUGCAUUAAUUCCUUGGCAUAUGCUGCUGUAAGACAAAAUUCAAAGGUCAAGUAUCCACGUCAAUUUAUAAGUUAUUGUCUCACAGUUUUAUUUGAUAAAAAAAAUUUACAAAAAAAUUUUAUAAAUUAAAAGUGGUGUGAAAAUUUUUAUCUUAAAUCAAAUUUUAAUACAUGAGUAAUGUGAGAUUUAUGAUUUUUUUUUUUAAAGAUUAUAACAUCUUUCUCACUCCAACGAAUAUUUAUUAUUUUCGGUGAUACAUCAUUAGUAUUCUAAAAUAUAUUUAGAUAUCAAAUGUCAUGAUUCAUAUCAAUUUAUAAAAUCGAUUUAUUAGACCUUACACUUUUAUUUUAUAAAAAUUUUUCACAGAUUCAAAGUAAUAUGAAUACUUAUAUUUCAAGUUAAAUUGUCCAUGAAAGAUUAUAAUUUCUCUUAAGAGUCGUGACACUCGGACUGUAUUUUCCUUUUGAAACUAAGGAAUAAGGAUAGGCCAUUCAUGUUGCGCCGUUGCCUUUUUGCAUGUGAAUCACUAAUAAAGGAGUUGGAUCUUGAGUAAUGUUUCCAAAUGAGUUGGAUAUUGAAGCUUCGUUCUUAUAUUUGCUUUCUAAGUCUCAAAAUCUUGAGUCUUUCAAACAUUACAUUUCCAAAUGACCAUUGAGCACAACAAAUGUUUUUUGCUUGCCCAAAUUUGAUGAAUCCAAGUCUAAGUGACUGUUGAUGGGAGAAAGGGAAGGCUGAUCAUAUUUCUGCCCCAAUGGUUGAAAACAUAUUUGAAGGUAGUAGUUGUAAAUAGAUUUAUGAAUUCGCAUAUUUAUAUUGUGUAAAAUUAUUAAAAUUCGUGUAUUAAUGUUGUAUUUUACAUAAAAUUUGUGUUAUAAUUUUUAUUAAUACGAAAAUAUAAAAUAUAUUUUUUAUUUUUGUUAAAUUUAUAUAUAAUUAUUACUAAAAUUUUAAAUCAUAUUACUUUUUUUUUUGUCAUCAAUGUUCUAGAUUGUUGGUAUAAUUGUAAAUAUAAACCAUCUAUAAUUACUGAAGUUUAAUUUAAUAUUACUGUUGCGAUAAAAAAUUCUAUUUAAAAAAUAAAGUUUAAAUUGCUUCUUUAAACAAAAAUUUGAAAAAAAAAAGCGUUUGAAUUAUUUAUUUAUAUACUUAUAAAGAGAGUUGGGUUUGGAAUUCCCUCUUAUAAUUUUACAAUGUUUAAAAUGUUUAUUUAUAUAAUUAU